rnacentral:rRNA from 1 species
UAGCGGCAGGCUUAAUACAUGCAAGUCGUGGGGCAGCAGGACUGUAGCAAUACAGUUGCUGGCGACCGGCAAACGGGUGCGGAACACGUACGCAACCUACCCAUAACUGGGGAAUAGCCCGGGGAAACCCGGAUUAAUACCCCGUAACAUAAUGAGAUGGCAUCGUCUUAUUAUUAUAGCUCCGGCGGUUAUGGAUGGGCGUGCGCCUGAUUAGGUAGUUGGCGGAGUAAUAGCCCACCAAGCCUACGAUCAGUAACUGGUGUGAGAGCACGACCAGUCACACGGGCACUGAGACACGGGCCCGACUCCUACGGGAGGCAGCAGUAAGGAAUAUUGGUCAAUGGACGCAAGUCUGAACCAGCCAUGCCGCGUGAAGGAUGAAGGUCCUCUGGAUUGUAAACUUCUUUUAUAUGGGACGAAACCCUCGUUUUCUAACGGGAUUGACGGUACCAUAGGAAUAAGCACCGGCUAACUCCGUGCCAGCAGCCGCGGUAAUACGGAGGGUGCAAGCGUUAUCCGGAUUCACUGGGUUUAAAGGGUGCGUAGGAGGGCAGGUAAG